CUCUCGUUUGGGUUGCGCUUUGCUGUUAAUGUGCCUGGGAUCUCGCUAAACGUUCUUGCUGCUAGCCCGCGAGCGUUCCCGUGAAAUCGACGGACGAUGGAUCUGCAUCUGUUGGAUCAGUGCUUUCAUGGAUCGUGAUUGCCUCCGUUCGUUCUGUUGCGUGGGGCUCCUGCUGUCUCCUACCAGGUUGUUUGUUUUCUUUCCCGCGAUCUUGGUCCCCUCUGUUUUUUGUCAUUGCUGUUGCGGUGGUGCUCUUUGGAUGCAUGCUGCCGGUCGCUGCGGUCUAAGCUAUCUGUGAACGGUUGCUCCUAGCUUUUGCCGUCUGA